GGUAUUCGCGUGCGCAAGUUGAGGGUUUCAUCACACGGAAGUUGAUCUAAAGUUGGUUGGAAAAUCGACAGACGCAAGUCUGUAAUACGGUUUUUGAAUGUCGAAUUACCAAUGUUUGAUAUAAAACCAACGUAACCACGGUGACCCUGACCACGUCGUCAAACCGAAACUGGAUGUGUUUGUGAAGGCUUGGGACUGACGGCAUAGCUAUUAUUUUGUUCCCACCGACCAAUACUGCCAUCCAAGAGGAGAAAGGCAACCAACACCAGAGGAACAAUUUAUCAUGAGUCACAGUCUGAACAUGGAAGGUACUGCUAAACAACAGCAGGAACACAAUAAUGACUGUCAGACGAACAAGACAGAACACUGGCUACUCAAAUUCGCUGAAAUGGUAGGACAGAGUAUCUGUCAGAAGCACAAAGACGAACUGGACCUCUGGAGGCCAACCUGUUUUUUUUGCGCUUGUCAAGAAGAUGAGCUAUUUCCCAAGCUAAUGCAGGUGUUUCUGAAGAAAAAAAUAACACCGUCUGGGGAAAAAGAUGGUGACGAGAGACAUUCUGAUGACAAGGAACCCUCCACUGCCUCUACCUCUCAAGAUAUCAUCAUGCAGAAUUUAAGCCUUGGCCAGAAAAGAAGUCUGCCUAAUGAGAAUGAUGGUGAAGUCCAAUCCACCGCCUCCGCCUCUGAAGUUCUUAGUAAGCAGAAUUUAAGCCUUGGCCAGAAAAGAAGUCGACCUAAUGAGGAUGAUGGUGAAGUCCACUCCACCGCCACCACCUCCACCUCUGAAGAUUCAUGGGUUCAUGUGGCCCGGUCAGAUUGUGAUGAAAUGCCUUCUGAAGACAAGCAAUACUCCACCACCUCUAACUCUGAAGGGCCUUCAGCGAAGACAUAUUACACUCUUGCUCCUGGAAAGUCGGCAGAAUACUCUAAGGAUAUCAAAACAUGGCUCAAACACCUGUCUGAAGUGAAAUCGAUACAGAGUUGUGAUAUGAUCCUGGCUACCUGCAUGGUUGUGUCUCGUGUUGGAACAGAUGUUGAAGCAGCACUGAAAGACAUCCCUGAAGCCAAGCCGACCAUUCUGGUGGUUAUGCACCAUACCUUUGAUCCUGAUUGUGUACUACCAGACAGCAGUAGGUUUACCAAAAGGGAGGACAUGCUCAUUGUGGACUGUCUGUUUAAUGAGGAUAAUGGAUUAUUGAGAUGUGAAAGAAAUGGCAUUGCACAAUCUACAAUGCUGAAAUGGAUCAACGCAAAGGUGUCCAUUAAAGAAACACCAUGGACUGUUUCCUCAUUCUUUGGUUGGUCCUGAUGUCUAUGAAGUGAUUUGAAGUCGGGCCUUGGAGGAUCCCAUGAUCAUCUUCUUAUGUUGUUUUUAUUGAAAUUGUUAAAAUAUUAAGAAGUGGAACAGAUGAAUAGCUACACAAAGCAUGACCCAGAGCGGUAACACUUUCUAUGCAGGCCAUGUCUAAUGAUUUAGGCAUAAAUUCAUAAUGCAAUUAUAUAAUGCUAUGCAAUAUAAUAUAAUGCAAUCAUAAGGUAUUGUAAUAAGUACAAACAAGCAUUAGACUCUAUAGCAAUGUCACUGUGCUGAUGCAUUUGAACAAUUUAUGAUUAGAGACUGCACAAGAUGGAAUAAUAGUUAGUUAUAGUUAUUUUUAAUGUAACAUAGCAUGUCUCUGCUAGCUUUAAGUGUAGUAUGAAAAUGUCCUUACCAGUAUUAAAUAGAAUAGGCAGGCAUAAGAUAAUAUAGACAAAAAAUAAAGUGAGACAUUUUGCUCAGGAGCAAAAAAAAAGCACAUUUUAUUCAUGUAACAUCAAUUUCAACAUUCUUUGUGCAGAAAAUAAAAACCAGUGCAUCCAAAUUACUUGCAUCUGUCUUAUUAAUGUAAUGUCAAUUUCAAUACACCCUAAAGCAACUGUUUGUUUUUUAUUUUAAAUUAUUUUCACACAUUGUGCUAUUGCUAUCCAUUAUGUUUACACAGGGUCUAGGUUCAACUUGAAACUGCAUUUCAAUAGUUCAAGCAUUUUUUUUAUAAAGCUAGCUCAUCACUGUAACAGCACCUUAAUGGCCAACAGAAAAAUACUGAAAGCAAUUGAGGUUUUAGUUAGAAAUUGGCCGUAGAUUACAGCAAUUUAAAUUACACUCUUUUCGCAAGAAGCAAAAAAGAUUCAGUUUUUCCGUGCAACUGUCGGUUACUACAACACCUAUGGAAAGUGGGUAAAGUUAUUAAGAUUAAAGACUCUUCCCAACGACAUUAGGUGGUUAUGCUCCUCUCAUUGCUUGUACUCACUGGCAAAUUAGCUAAUACAUCGAUCCUGAGAGCUUUUUUACAUCUUUUUUUUUAAAUACCUUAACUGUUAAUGGUGAGCAAGAACUUGGAGCUAAAUGCUGAUUGGCAGUCAAUGUGACAACAGAAUGAUUAGAAAUGUAAUAACACAGUAUUUCAUCAUGGUUGUUGAGCCUUUGUAUGCUAAUUAAAAUUCAAGUUAGAUUAUUUUGAUUCAAACAGAAAGGUCAAUACUUUUAUAAUACAGUUUUUCUCAGUUGCUUUGGUCAAUUUCUCAGAUCAGAAGCGAAAUUCUCAAAAAUCAUCUAGUCACUUUUGCACAUCAAACAUCAAUUUCUCAUUGUUUUGCACAUUUUGAAAAUACUUUUGCGCUACAAAAAAUCUACGUAUGUAUUCAGUGUCUACAUCAUGACAUGCAAAUGGUUUAAACCAGUUAUCAUUAUGUGUCAACUAUAUGCUUUAUCAGUUUCGGUGGCAUUGUGUUUUUGGUAUGGUACAGAUUAUUUAUUUAUUAUUGUGUUUCUUUUCUCCCUCAGGUUGACCUAGAAAGAGGCUGACCUGGUAACCAUAGCAACAACCAUAGCAAUGUAUUUAUACUUGAGAAAAGUAUUGACGACCUGUGCUGCAUUAACUGCCCCAGACAAUAUUGUUGCCCUCCUCCAACCUCAGCAGCUGGAGUGCAGAGGGCUGCUCAACCUGGGGCAGACCUGCUACCUAAACGCCACACUGCAGUGUCUGCUCCACCUGCAGCCUCUCUGCACUCAGCUGCUGGUGCAGGAGGAGGUGUGGAGGAUGGCGCCAGAGGCACUGCUGCUCAGGUAGGAUCAGCGCUCUCUCUCUCUCAUACACACUCACACACAGCUCCACGUCCGGCUCAAAAACUGACUUUGUGAAACUGACCUAAAAACAUGAGUUCGUUUGUAGGACUGGUACUCCUCAGAGGGUCCUGUGAAAUGGACAUGAAGGCAGCUGUACUACUGGAGUUCAAGGACCAAAUCUCCCUGCACAACCAGGAGUUUGAGGGGAACUCACAGAACGUGAGAACUUACGGCAUAUACAUGGACAGAAACAUACAAUGACUUAGCAAUGUCCACACAUGCACAUACCAUACAUAUGUGCAAGCUACAGUUAUUCGUUUAUCAAGCCCAGGAUCAUGGUGUGGUUAUGCCAGCUGAGGUAGAGGAGCAAUGCUGCCUCUUUUAUUAUUAUGCUUGUGUGACAUGUAUGGAUAUUCAUCUAUUUGUGUGUUUUAUAUCGGCAUUCAUGAGUAGGACGCCAAUGAGUUCCUCACAGAAUGUCUACUGCUGCUAAGGGUCAUCGGCCAGGCUCUGUUCUCCUUCCAGCUCCAGUAUAUAAGAACUUGCCAGAGGUCAGUGCUGCUUACACUUAAAGACCUUACACAUAAAUACAAGUUCCCAGAGAAUUGUGCUCCUCAGUGAUACUUUGCUUAUCUUUUCUGCAGUGUGUGUGUGUGCGUGUGUGUGUGUGUGUGUGUGUGUGUGUGUGUGUGCGUGUGCAUGUUGAGCAGCUGUGGAGUUGAGAGCAUGAGGGAUGAGGUUAACACCAUGCUCUCCCUCGACCUGGUUGUACAGGGAUCGAUAAGAGACAGCCUCCAGCUCUUUUUCACUGGUGUUGAUCCUCCACCUCAAGAGGUUCUGUCCCCUGACCCUCGCCAAACAACACCAGGCGCUUACACUGGACUCCAUUCUGGACCUGAGGACACUAGGGGAAAGGCCACUAUAUAGCCGACUGUGGGGAACAGCCAGACCAGUGGGUCACAUACAGUGACCACUCUGUCACAGUGAGAUCUGAGGAGGCCGUCCUCAAUAACAGGGAGAGGAUAGCCUACAUUCUUCUUUAUAUCAAAAAGGUAAUUUACACCAUCAGCCACAUCUUACGAUUACAUCUGUAUACAUAACCUCACAGGUAUCUUAAUAAUGAAUAAUAUUUCAAACAUUCCCCUCCCAUGAAGGUGUAUAGUAUAGUGCCUCACACACUGUUAGAAGCCUAUACCUAACACCUGUCUUUUUGCAUAAUGGUUCCUACAGAAGAGACACAAGGUAACUUGGAAACAGUUUUCUUCACACUCUUUUCACUGUGAUUUUCAUGUCAUGUUAGUGAUACGGAUUACCCCCCUCCCCACCCCGUCUGCCUUCUGCCCUCCCCCAUCAUCAUCAGGGGUAAAAGCUGUCAGCACCAGUCCAGCAAGCAAUGGGCGACCCAUUCAUAAAGGUCAAAUAAAAUUGUAUUAAAUCAAUGUCUACUGGAGAAUGCCUUCACUGUAUUGAGCACAUCAUUGGCAUCUUAAGCGACAGAUUUGCAGCAGGAUCAGUAUGAGUGCUCAUCACGUGAAAACAAAAUGACACAUUCCUCUGCACAUAAGGAUGAGAGACACGGUCACAUCACAGUUUAUCUAGGAAAGGGAAUUGAUAUAAGUUGAUUUAAAGUAACAGUAUGCAACAAUUGUACCUUAAAAUAACAGCUUGAAAAAAAUUGUGCCGCUACAAUGACUUUUAAUAUGGCGAUUUGCGCCUCCGCCAUUGCCAUCGGGGGUCUGUGGGGAAAUAACUCCGCUAUGUAGGAUUCUGGGGCCGCCCGAUCUGGGGCGGAUGUACUUCGACCUGCUUUCUGGCAGUGAUUACGCAAUGUCAUAUAGUGCCAGUCCACGCUCGCAGCUACAGUAUAAGGGAGAAGCAAGCGAAGUCUCAUCAGUAUUCAUCAUGGAGAACGCACCAAAGAAACGGAAGAAGACUAUGUCAGAUGAAGCAAAGAAGAGAAAAAGAGAGGCCGACAGAGCAAGAGAUCGGACUAGGGUCACAAUCGGAACAGCUUUUACUCGUUGGAGAGAGCUGAAAGACACAUUUGGAUACAAGUUCGAUUCACAGCUAGCCAUCUUUCUGCUGGAUUAGUAAGUAGUUUGUACUGUCUCUUGCUUGAUGUUUGACUGUGUUAUGAAAGUUGUUGACUCGCUAGUUUGUCAUACUCGAGGAAAGCACAUUUCAAUAGGUUUUGCUAGGCUUUAGGGUGACCAGAUUUGAGUUUGUAAAAAAGAGGACUUCGUCGCUGGGGGAGGGUGCGGGGUCCAGCAUGCAUAUAGUGUCUUCUUUUUCACAAACUGAAAUCUGGUCACCCUAUUAUAGGACAUUGAUGCUAGGUUUACGUCCUCUUUUUUGUCCGGGUAAAAGAGGACUUGUCCGCCUGGGUAAAAUAGGACGUCUGGUCACCCUAGCUUAGCCGCUAUCAAGACAUCUCGUUAGCGAUAUCAGACAUCUUGUUAUAACACGCUUGGACAAUGAUGCUAGUAAUAGUCGAGUAGCUAGUAAUAACGUCGUAUACACUUCUUUGUAAUGUUAUUGUGAUCGCUAUCUGGCUAACUUGCCACCCAAGCUCCACUAGUAUCAGGAUAUUCCAGAUAUUUCCAAGGAAUUUAGCGAUAGUUGACUCUGUCUGUUAGCAUUCCCUUACAGCCAGUUGGUCUGUGGUUCAUGUUUUGUUAGCUUAGUAUGCUACUUGUGUGUUACCUGACUUGAAUGCCGUGAUUUGUGAAAACAUAUAUAAAGAUGUAGCGGCAAACAUACUGAAUUGGUUCUUUCUAUCAAAAGCGGUAGGGAAUGUCUACUCUCAGCCAGGGACAUGCACAGCCACCACCGCGGCCUGUACCUAGUUUUUCAGAAGAGUCCGACCGAGAUGGGGACAAAGAAUUCGCUAUGCAAGGUGUUCAACCGUUGGGCAAAGAAACCGAAGCGGUCAGAGUGCUAGAAACUAGCAUGCACUCCUUGAGCAUUGCUGAAGAGGAGCAGCAUGACUCUCUGGAUGAGGAGGAGGCGAAUUAUAUGAGGAAUAGCAUUAUUGACAUGGAUGAUUGCUGGGAGGAUCCUAAUCAGAAGGGCUUGGAAGAAGAUCGGGACAGCUCUGAUGAAGACUAUAGUCCUUUUCUUCAUCUACGUGCCCCAGCUAUGACUGCCAACAUCAACCAACUCCUGGAGAUAAGCAUGGAUAAAGCCGUGCUUGAUGUGGCAACACCCAAUCCUCCAGGUGAGGACAUACAAGAAACUCCAGAACAACAAAAAGUUUCAGGACAACUUCAGAUUUGGAGAAUUUCCAAAACCACACUCAUGUAUGCAGGAAAGCGGUUUGCCUACAGCCCCCGUUUCCAAAACCAGACAUUGCUUGCAGCAAUCGAUUACAACUAUCACAACCACCGCAUUCCUGCACGUGGCAAGGAUGGACACCGAAUGUACAGACAGUACUUCAACAAGAAGUCCGAGCGCUGGAGUGUAUAUGUGUUGAAGGAGAGCAAAGGCUACCAUUACAUUCCAGACCUGCAGAAGGCCAUCCUUGCUGAGAGGCUGGGAAGUGGAAUGGGCCUUCCCAGAAUACAGGGUCUAAGGCCUGAUGAUCCCAGGCGCUUGGGUUUGCUUGCCGCAACGCAGCCUCCAUCCACAUUUGAACUUGUCGCGGCUCAGGUUUCACGGGGAGAGGGUGGUGCCCAAAGUGAAUUCUAAACUAUUCCAUUCUUUCAUAGCUGUGUAUGUAAAUAAUUUGCAAAUAAUUCAAGUCGUAAAAAGAAAUAUUUUUUUAUUUAUAUGUAAAUAAAAAACAAUGAACAUCAAACUGUACAUGUUUUUUGACAUUGAACAUAAAUAACAAAACUAUUUACAUAUUUACACCAAACGGCCCACCCUGAAGCCUACAUAUUGACCCAAGGGGUCAGGAAAUGCAGUUCUUAUCUUCCAAACGCAGCAGCUCGGAAUAAUAACCCUAUUGCCUUCACCCAAGCGGCCAUGCUGCCACAGUACAAAUUGGCGGUAUGCCGCAUGUCUGUACUGUCGCUGCUCCACCCCUGGUUCCUGUUCGUCAUCAACAUCAAACACAUCGUUCCAUGCAGCCCGUGCCAGCCGUAAAACGCCCGGUUAAGAACAUAUAACUGCAUAUGUGCCAUGCUGCUGACGGAGUUUUCAGGGGCCUGGCGGCAGCAGAGCCUUUCUUGGUCUGUUGUCAUCUCCCUGCAAUUACUGCAGGUGCACCAAUGUAAAGGUCCCUACCUGUCUCUACCUCAGAAGAGGCAGAUGUUGACAAUGACGUCGAUUCCUGCAAUAAAACCAUAGAAAAAAACUUGUUGACAUCCAAACCUCAUACACCAUUAGCCAUGCAUGAAUUAUCCUUUCGAAUUUAGCUAAUACAGUGUUAUAAUAAACUGUUUCUACUGUCUUUGACGUUAGCUAUUGUGAUCUGUCCUAUGUCGAUAAAACAACGAAAAUUGAUGUAUUGUGAUGUAAAUCCCUGCCUACGUAAUUAAUGAAAGAAUAGGCUGUAGCCUUAUCAGUGUCAUCCCUGUCUCACGGAGAUUUGUAGUUUUAGUUAGGGUGACCAGAUUUUAGUUUGUGAAAAAGAGGACACUUCGUUGCGGGGGAG
ensembl:lncRNA